GAAAACUCAGCAAGGCCUGUCUGUUCAGAUUCUUUUUGGCCUCUCUGUGUGGCAAUCCUUCCUCCCAGCUAUAGAGCAGAGACCUUCUGGAAUGAAGAUCUUAUGAUCUACUUUCAGACAUGGCAGCUCAGAGAAUUUCUUUACAGCCAGCUCUUGCCCAGAAAGAUGCUGUUGUUAGAGACCAAAUACACCACCCCUAAAUAUGCUGGAAAAGUUACCCUUUCAAAGAGGAUUUACAUCUGUAAAGGAAAUCUCCAUUCCUGCACCAGGAAGAGAAGGAUGACUAAAUCCUUCGAGAUGUAUCUAUGGAGAAGAAAAUGAUAUUUCAGCCCAAAGUUUCAACUCCCUCUUGGAUCUACCCUAGAGAUUUGCUCAGCUCACUGUGUAACUCCCAUGGAUAUACAAGGUAUCCACGCUAUUUAAUAUUCAACUUGUUUGUUUUUCUCCUGUUGAUCUGUCUUGUGUUCCAGGGCAUCCCAGCUAAGAACUCAUGAAGGGUAGAGAGAAAACUGUUUUUCCUCUCUUUCAUUUUGGGGGGCUGUUCCCAGAGAUCAAAGAUGAGCCCUGCAAACUGGUGAGUCCUUUCAGAAGUCCUUUAUUUGGGCACCCCAAUUCCUUGUCCUCCAGCCCAGCUUCCUCCAAGAGAGGUCCUUCCUUAGGACUCUCAGUGCCAUCUCUUCCUGAUCUUGUCCUUCUCUUGAGAAAGUCUACCCUACUCCAGAGGCUGACCUAAGACUGGAAGCCCCCCUCUUCCCUGGACACCUGUAGGAUGCAUUCCAUGGUUCAGCUGGCUAGUCUCUGAGGUAGGCAGUCAGCACUUACUUGAGAGGGACUUUGGAUAGUCCAAGCAGGGCUUUGGCACUGCAAAUUCAAAUAAGAGUCCAGAGGAUGGGGCUCAGCCUGCAGGCUCUGCCCUGGGCUGUGUCUGUCAUAGAGGCUCCUCUGGCAGUAAGACCCAACACAAAAGCAUUGAAACUACCCCGUGCUAUGUCUUAGGCCAGGUCCUAUUCAUGGGGGAGGCAACCCCAUGCUGGUGUCUGUAGACAGAAGAGGGAAUUAAAGGAUUUCGGACCCUCUGUACUGCAGGAGCCAGGUCAGGAGAGGGGUCCCCUCUUCCAUCAUACAUAUCACUGAAAAUGAGUUGGAAGUAAAAGAAGAAUUCCUCUAUAUCACACAGUCAGAUCAGGAGGUCAUUACUUAAGUUAAAAACAAUUUUUAAAAAACAAAAUAAUCAUCAGAACAUGCACCUCCUUUAAAUAAAAGGCCCAUUAAGUGCCUUUCUAAUGUCCUGAUUGGAGCAUAAAUUGGGGCAUGUUAGGUCAGAUAAAAGUGACCUGUGUGAUAAAAUUAUACAUUAUGAUUACAUAUAUUAUAUUGUUUAUUUUCUGUUUCCUUCUUUUUCUCUUAGUGUUUUUUUUUCUUUUCUUUCUCUUUUCUUGCCUUGCCUUUGCCUUGACAGGGACACUUAGAGGAUUUGACAGGUCCAGCUACAUCAGAUCAUUGGAAUUGGCAUGAAAAAGAGCUUCUGGGCCUUACAUAGGUUUUUCCAAAGAGUGGGGAAACCCCAAGGAAUUCUGUAACCUUAAAAUAAACUGAGAUUCAUUAGUGCAGAAACACAGAAAGCUGUCUUCUGAGUCUCGGAAACUAAGAUUUUAGAUGAAGUUAAUUUUCUUAUAAAAGAAUACAAUAUUAUUGUAAAUAAUUUAGAGAUUGCAUAUAAGACAAAGAAGAAAAUAAAAUGAGCUAUAUCCGUUCCUCCAGCCAUCAACACCUUCCACAUUUGUGGCACAUCCUUUCAGGAUGUAUGUGUGUGUGUGGGAGGGGGGUGCUUACCUGUGUGUAGUAACUUCAUGUUAUACAUAUGCCUUUUUCCCUCAAGGGUGACCACUGUUGUUGCCCAGGCUGGAGUGCAAUGGCGCGAUCUUGGCUCACCACAACCUCUGCCUCCUGGAUUCAAGCGAUUCUGCUGCCUCAGCCUCCCAAGUAGCUGGGAUUACAGGUGCCCACUACCACACCUGGCUAAUUUUUUUGUAUUUUUAAUAGAAACAGGGUUUCACCAUGUUGGUCAGGCUGGUCUCGAACUCCUGAACUCAUGUGAUCUGCCCCCCCCUCACCCGCCCCUUGGCCUCCCAAAGUGCUAGGAUUACAGGCGUGGGCCAUGACCUGCUUUUUAUUAUCAAUCUAUAAUUAUAUGUAUUGUUCCUAUAUCAUUAAAUAUUCUCCUUUGAC
rnacentral:lncRNA from 10 species